AUGGCCAUAUCAUGUUGAAACACAGGUUCUCAUGUGAUCACCAUAGUUAAGCAACAUCAAACCUGGUAAGUACCUAGAUAGGUGACUGCUUGAGAAUACGAGGUGCUGUAAU